CUUCAUGGUUAAUUUCCUGAGCAAGAUUAUAUCUUCUGCUUACUUUUAAGGCAAAGAGUACAACUGUUAAUUUGUGCAAGUGAUUAUAACUGUUUACUUUU